AAUAUUCUGAAAAUGGAUCUUUAGUGAAAUCAAAGGAGUGAAGAUCAAUAUGGGAGUGAUUGAUUGUAUUGAAUUUAUUGAAAUAGUGUUUGAUAUUAAAGAUAUUAAAGAGUAAAUCAAUAUUUCUUUGAUUAAAAUUGAAAUUGUGCAUGAAGGACGGAUUUGAAAUUUGCAUUAGUUUAAAAUUUAAUAGAUUUCUGUGAUGGCAGGAAGUUGACGUCAGUGGGAGGUUAGUCCCUCCCCCUUUUCUUUCCGUCCCCACCCACCAGAAACAGGUCAUCAUGGGAGAUCAGGGUAUGGGCAAGUUGACGGCAAGCCUGGAAGACCUUUCCUUAAAGAAGCAACUUCCACUUCGUCAGCAGGCCCAGAAACCAAUGCUUAAAUACAGCAACAAUGCAAUCAAACCAGUUCAGUUGUUUAACCAUGCUGACCUGAUGUCAAUACGCAGCAACGCGGAGGCAGCGCGUAAUGCGUAUAGCAGCCUCAGUAAUGCAUCUACAUCCAGUACCAUGUCGACUCCAUUUAGAUCCAGUGUUAAACCUGCACCAAGUCCACAGAUGCUACUUCAACAAGCUACAGGUACAAAUGGCCAGCCGUCAAAUUCAGCAUCUUCAGGAACACUGAAAACAUCACCAUCAAAAGGACAUUCCAACCCCUAUGCACGACCCUUAAGUGCCAAGGAUAUUGUAAGUGACCUUCAGAAUCAGCAGAAGAUAAAAAAGACCCCAAGUUCCACCCAAGCACAACCAGGACCCAACUCCAUGUACACAAAUGGUGGGUCUGGGACACCAAUGUUUGGUUUCCCUAUGAAUGCAUUCAUGAGACCUCAAAGUGCUUUAAGAAAGGAAAAUUCUGCUCAAAGUACGAAAUCAACAACUGAAUCCAAGAACAGCAUUAAUUCACAAAAUUCGAGUGCAAAAUCCAGUAGUGCCAAUGAAGGAAGUUCAAAUAAGACUGGUUCCAAAGUAACUCCAAGGAAAACUAUUCCACCCACCAGAUUGGAACGGGAACCAGAUUUAAGCCAGACUGGUUUACCAAAUUCUAAUUCAAGUACCCAGACUGUGAAAAACCAAUUUGGACCAGCUAAGGCUUAUAGUGUGAUAUCUGAAAAAGCAAAAAUAAGCGCUGAAAAGACCAGUGCUGCUAAUAGUACAUCUAGUCCUUCCAAAGUUACUGCUGCUUCACAAACACCAAAUAGUGCUAUAGCUAAAAUGAACGAGUCUUCGAACUCUGAAAGUGUGAAAAAAGUGUUAAAUUCUGAAGGAAACAGUAACACUCAGUCGAAGCCUAUAGUUUAUGCAAGACCUGUGUCAUCACUGCCAAGACCUGGUUCAGGGGCAUCAUCCUCUAAAUCAGGUACACCGGAUUCCCAGACCAAAGUCCGAAACCCCAGCUACACGCCAACCAAGCCUUACCACGAAGUAAGUAAUCCAGCAAAUGUAAGUUCAAAACCACCAAUAUCUGCAGUUACGAAGGUCCAGCAAACUACAGAGACUGUUAUAACAGUGAAAGCGGAUCCUCCGAAGGGUAAUACUUACAUGGCGCCUACAAAUAUAAAAAAAAUGAACGAUGCAAAACAGUCGGCCUCUAAUCAAAGUAGUGGCAGUUCAAAGGAAUCAAGCGCGAGUUCUGGGACUGUGUAUUACAGAAAAGAGUCAAAAGCUGACACCAUUAUUCAUGAGCAGCGACCCCCGGCAAUAGGUGCUCCAUCAAAACCCCCUAGGGGCGCAGAGAAGGGGUCACGAACCACUUUGACAUCAGGGUCAGAAUUAGAUGAGGCUGCUGAUGAUGAGUCAGAAGUCCCAUCAGGAGAACGUAUGCCAGGCGAUGGUGAGGCGAGUGUUGAAGGUGGUGAUGAUGAUGAUGAAUUUGAUGAUUAUGAUGAUGAAGAUAUGGUUGAUGAUUUAGAUGAUGACUGUAUAGGAGGAUCAGAUGGUGAAUCAGACGGGUAUUCCUUCACCAGUAGCAGUUUGUCACGGCGUUCAUCAUCUGCACAUCGACUGAAGACACGUGCGUUCAGUGCGACUGGUAGCGAGAUUGGUUCAGUCAGUCGACCUCAGACUGCUUCCCCGGACAGAUCCGUCAAACCACCCCUUAUCCAUAGUCAUUUUCCAAAUAUUCCACCUGUGGUAGCUUUUGUUGCAGAUGGGGAAAAAGUUGAACAGUUACCGUGGGAUUACAGGAAGUUUUUGAAGUGGCGACUGAGUCCUAUCACACCAAAUGUUGUAAAACACUGCCUUGCUAGGUCAGGAUUUAGGAUAACAAAACGUAACCAUGACUGGUUAGGUUGCUGGGGUAAACAUAUGAAAUCACCAGGUUUCAAAGCUCUCAGGGAAUACCAAAAGUUAAACCAUUUUCCGGGAUCAUUCCAAAUAGGACGUAAAGAUCGUCUGUGGAGGAACUUGUCCAAGAUGCAGGUUCAUUUUGGCAAGAAAGAGUUUGGAUUUUUUCCUCAAACAUACUGUCUUCCAAUGGAUGCUAAACUUAUGAAACGUGCGUUUGAAGAUGGAGGAACUAAACAGAAGUGGAUUAUCAAACCUCCUGCAUCUGCUAGAGGUAUUGGGAUCAAGGUAAUCAACAAAAUCACUCAGGUACCAAAGAAACGACCAGUCAUUGUUCAGAAAUAUUUAGGUCGACCUUAUUUAAUAAACGACAGCAAGUUUGAUCUACGUAUAUAUGUGUAUGUGAGUUCCAUGGACCCACUUAGACUGUAUGUGUAUGAAGAUGGGCUGACCAGAUUCGCGUCAAUGAAGUACUCGGGUUCUAUGAAGCAUCUGGCCAACAAGUUUAUGCACCUGACAAACUACAGUGUGAACAAGAAGAAUACAGACUACCAGGCAAACUCAGAUGAUACGGUGUGUCAGGGACAUAAAUGGAGUCUGAAAGCAUUGUGGAAUUACAUGAAACGGCAAGGAGUGAAUACAUCGGCAGUUUGGGAAAAUAUGAAAGAUCUCAUCAUUAAAACUAUCAUCUGUUCAGAUGGACCAGUAAACAGUUUGAUCAAGGCAAACUGCAAGAGUCGUUAUUGUGUACAUGAGCUGUUUGGUUUCGAUAUUCUCCUAGAUGAAAGUUUAAAACCUUGGAUCCUGGAAGUCAACAUUUCACCAAGUUUGCAUUCCAACUCACAACUUGAUAUCAACAUCAAGGGUCACAUGAUCAAAGACCUGAUGAAUAUCUCUGGUAUACGUGUACCUGACAAACACGAUCUAGUCAAGCACCCGCCACAGACCAGCGGACCACCCGAUCUCAGUAUGUACGUCCCACCAAACAAUGUAUGUAUGGACAAACGUCUGUUUAGUCAGCAGUUGUCACCAGAUGAGAGAGCUAAGCAUGCAUACUACAGUCAGAGACAUCAAGAUGAGCAAAUUCAGCAGACAAUACUUGAUAUCCUGACACCAGAUGACAUUCGCUUCCUCACAGAGAGUAUAGAUGAGGACGGUCGUAAAGGAGGGUUCCAAAGGGUGUUUCCAACCCCCACCACACACAAGUACCUCAAAUACUUUGAAACACCAAGAUAUUACAAUCUCCUGUUGGAUCAGUGGGUACAAAGGUUCAACAGGAUGGAACAAAGGGGUAUAGCGUUGUUACAGUCCUACUGUGAGGAUGGCAUUCACCUUGAGAUAAAUACAGAUAGUCCAAACCAUCAGUGGAACCCACCUAGUGCAACUUGUCACACGUACCGAGAGAACCGUCUUCUUAGUGCACCAGUGUCGAAACACAAAGAAAAUGAUUUGCUGAAAACAAGAGAAAUACAUGUAGCCCUCCCCAUUGCCCAAAGAAAGAUUUUGUUACACAACAUUAAAACGAGAGAAAUCGUUUAACACUGUGUUGUUACAAAGGCAGAACUCGUGUCUUACGCCAUCAGGGUCUAGAAAGAGUAGUAGAAACACGCAAAUGAUAUUGUAUAGACGAAGAAUCAUGCUUCUGUCAAGGGCAGAUGUGAUGGACCUUUCCAGUGUUCAUGAUCAAACAUUACAGUAGACUCAGUACUCAUGUGACUGUCAGUCCGUCUACCCCCGUUACAGGAACUAUUUAGUGGUGUCUUGCCGGUGUUUGCGUCCACCAAAUACCAACGUCAGACAAUGAGACUCGUUCAGCAAGAAAUCAAUAAGCCACUCAACAAAAAGCCCAAGAAAAGAAUCAAGUUAAAAAUGGAACAGUUCUUCGGCCAAGGGCAAAAAUAACAAGUCCCCUUGCCAUGUCAGUUGAAGCUGUCUUUCCGCUCCGUGACAGUACUUACCUUAGUCUUACUAUGGUUGAAAUUUCUGAACUGCCAUGCUAGCAAUUCUUAUGAACAUAUGGGCAGCUGCCGAGACUUUUAGUCUUGUAACACUGGCCCCCAAGGUUAUAAAUCUGAGUUUGUAGACCAGUCUGAAAUAACUACCUUGCCAUUGGUCAAUUUCGAAAAUGUGCUCAGGAACAGCCAAUCAAAUGGUGGAGAUUUUAGACUGGUUUCAGAAUUCAGGUUUAUGACCUUUGACCCUUGUAUUCUUGAUAAACAGCUAGAAUUAUUGUAUAAAGCCUCGUUUUGAAAACAGGAUUCAUUGCAGCAAACAUUUUAAAUGCUGGAUAUUGUUUGGAAACUGAACUGCUGUCAUUUGCUACUACAGAUUCUAUUUAUUUUCUCUUGCAAUUUAUUUGUUUUAAAUUGUUGCCUUGUUUAUUUGUUACUGUUAAUUGCUGUUGCUUAUAGUUUACUUUGGUUGUUUACAGUUUUUUUUACAAGUUGGUGCCCAGUACUACAUAAUUAUACAUAAUAUUUGCUAAGACUAACAAGUUUUGAAGUAGCUGCGUUGACGCUUUGUUUUUAAUGAUAUUAUAGGCAGUUGUGAUAUGUAUGGACAUAUGUGACCAGUCACAGAGUAACUUACCUCAUUGUUGUGGGUUCGAGACUCGCUCGGGGCAGUCAAAUUCUUCAUGUGAGAAAGCCAUCCAGCUGGCUUAUGGAAGGUUGAUUGUUUUACUUAUGUGCCCACUUCUGAUGAAAUAAUGCACUUCGGGGCACCCAGGGUCUUCCUCCACCAUCAAAAGCUUGAAAGUUGCCAGGUGACCUAUAAAUGUGUCAUUAAACACAACCAAAAAACAAAAAAGUUGCAGAGUAAAUGUUUCAUUUUCUGUAUUGACUUGCUGUAUGAGUGGUUUAUUUUGCAACUUGGAAAUGUUUGCAAUUUUUGGAAAUUGGAAACAGUCAAAAAAUGAAAGACAAGUAAUAUGUAUUAAACAACGAAAGAAGUGAUCACAUGAGGAAAAUGUUCAAUUUUAUUCAGAUAACCUCGACCGCAAUCACAUUUAUGAAAAUAUUCACCAACAUUUCUGCAUGCAAACUGUCUACUUUUGGCGUUUCGCAUGUAAUACAAAAUGAUCCUUUGGAUGAAUUUAAGCUUUACCCUAUUUUACUGUGUUACAAAAUUACUUUUAUAAAAAGUGAAUAAAUCUUUUCGUAAGCAGUCAUGAAGGUACCUUUUCCUGUGACUGGUCACAUAUUGGUUUUACAAAAGGCUCUGUUUACUUUACAUGAUAAUGAAGCUUUAGUACAGUAGAAUUUAUACUAACCAUAGUUACAGUUGUUGUAAAAAAUGUUAAUUUCAGCCUGAAUUAAGGCUUCUGAAUUGAUUAUGUAUGGAAAUAUGUAAACACUAGAUACCUGAAGAAGAAAAAAUAAGUUAAAAUAUUAGCCGUGCCAUGAGAAAACCAACAUACUGGGUUUGCGACCAGCAUGGAUC
rnacentral:misc_RNA from 1 species